GUCGAGCGCGCGUGCGCGCGGAGGAGCUCGGCGGCCUGGGCAGUUCUCCGCGCGCUUUGGCCUCGCGCCGGGGCCGCCGCCCCUCCCCCACCCGGCUCGCUGGCUCCCUCACCCUCUCACCCGCCGCCUCCGCCCGCCGCCUCCGAGGGGGAGAGGUCUUGCCGCCGCCGCUGCUCGAGCUCCCGAGUCCCUCGGGCCUGGGGCCGCCGCCUCGCCUCGCCGGUCCGCCCGCCUCAGCCGACGCCGACGCCUCCUCGCUUCCUCAGGGGCCGCAACGGGCUCCAACUGCGCCACUCGCACCCCGCCUGGGCCGCGCUGCACGUCAGCACGACUAACUGCGUGCGUCAGCACGCAAACGCGCGUCGCGGGGCCUGCCGGGAACUGGAGUGCGCCCCGCGGCCUUUUGCGCAGGCGCCGAAGCCACACCGCGAAGUACCGUUUUUUCAGGCACAAGGAAGGUUUCACCCCGUUGCCGAAAGACUAAGCGUCCCGUUGGCCAGUGCAACGAAGAACGGAGGAAGCGACGUAAGACACCGCGUAUUCGUAGGCCUUCCGCUGCGGGGAGGAGCACAGGGCCUAGCGGCAGCAAAGCGACGCCCGAGCGCGUCUCGUCUCCCGCUGUCGAUGCAGAGCAUUCUGGGAGUUGUGGUUCGGGCGUGUCGCGGAGCCCGGAUGUAAUUUCGGCUCGGGGCGUGGCGGCCAUUUUGUCUCCCCAUGUUGGGAGACGAUAUCCCAGCCGCGGUGGUGCUGCCGCUUUCGUGUGACUUUGGGUUUCCCGAGCGAGCCCGCAGCUGCACAGCAGUCCGCCUUCCCGUACCCGAGAGAAGCCGCCUCAGACCCCAGCCAGCGGGCACCCCCGGAGGCCCCGAGCCUGGCUGCAGGCCCUAGACCUGCACCAGGGGCCCAACCAGUUACCCGUAGCAUGGGCCACGUUCUCCCGCUGUAGACCGGGCUGAGGCCCGACGGCCACCCCUGGGGGAGGAGUUUUCUUAGCUUCCGGUAGGGCAGCCAGGCCGGGGUCCCACCAGACCCAGGACGUGAUACCGGUGAAGCGGCACAUACAGGAACAAGGCAGGAGGAAAAUAAUAAGCACCUUAAAGUUUCCACUUUUCGGUACCGUACUUCCUGUUAAUGUUUCUAAGCCCGUGAUUCUGGGCCUGAUAAUCAGCCAGCCGUCCUCACAGCAGAGUUGUAAGACGCUGGGCUGCUCAAGCACAAGUUCAUAUCUAGACCCACCGCUGGCGAGCAGCCCUGGACGUCCCGCUUAGCUGUCCUAACCAACUCAGGUGGCCUUGAUCCGCAACAGGACGCGGUACCACGUAAUGAACUGUCCAUUUGAGUGCAAGGAUUUAUAUUUGUUAUUACGAUUUGGGGGUGUUUUUAAGAGGCAGGGUUUUGCCCAGGCUGUUCUCGAAUUUGGGGCUCAAGCGAUCCUCCGACCUCAGCCUCCCAAGUAGCUGGGACUACCCGUGCAUGACACCCUAUCUGGCCCUUGUUUUUUGUUGUUGUUGUUGUUCUUUCUUUUUUCACGUGGUUUCGCACUUGUCACCCAGGCUGGAGUGCAAUGGUGUGUUGUCGGCUCACUGCAACCUGUCUCUCAGGUUGAAGUGAUUCUCGUGUCUCAGUCUUCCGAGUAGCUGGGAUUACAGGCGUGUGCCACCACGCCUGGCUAAUUUUUGUAUUUUUAGUAAAGACGGGGCUUCACUAUAUUGGUCAGGCUGGUCUCGAUUUCCUGACCUCAGGUGAUCUGCCCACCUCAGCCUCCCAAAGUGCUGAUAUUACAGGCGUGAGCCACCACGCCCGGCCCGUAUCCGGCUUUAAGAUUUGUUUUUCACUUGCCCGUGGGAGGAUGUACUUAUCUCAGAUGCUAGAGCCGGGAGACCCUCCCCCCCACCACCCCCAUCUCCUGCAGGAGCUCUGAUCGCAGAUUGGAGUGUCUGAACUCUGCAUCUAUGGACGGUGCUUCUGUAAGCCGGCCGCAACUCUGGAGUGGCAUAGUAAAGUGGCAAAGGCUUUGCCUUUCUGGUUAAAGACCCCAGCACCUCCAGUGAGACCCUUUCCUGUACCCCCACUGAUAUUCUUUAUGGAAUGUUUUGUGCGUGAGUCAGCACAUUUAAUGCCCGUGAAUAGUGACAAAACAUGGUUUGCAGUACCCUAAUGACUGAUGAUGCUGAGAAUCUUUUGAUGUGCUUGUUGGCCGUUUGUACAUCUUUGGAGAAAUUUCUCUUCGUGUCUUUUGUCUAUUUUAUUUUUUUGGGACAGAGUCUCACUCCUAACCCCGGGCUGGAGUGCAGUGGCACGAUCUCCACGCACUACAAUUCUUGUACCUCAGCCUCCCAAGUAGCUGGGAUUACAGGCGCACGCCACCACCCAGCUCAUUUUUUUAUUUUUAGUAGAGGUGGAGUUUUUUGUAGAGAUUGUGUCUCCCUGUGUUGCCCAGGCUGGUCUUGAACUCCUGGGCUCAAACUGUCCUCCCCCCUUAACCUCCCAAAGUGCUGGGAUUACAGGUGUGAGCCAUGGCACCCAGCCCUAGAAUGAUUUUUUAGUUUCCCUUUAAACUUUAUUUUUUUAUUCACUGUAGUGUGGUGGACGGUGGUGCCCCAAAACUUCACAACCACCUAGACAUUCGGAAGGUGACCUUAUUUGGAAUAAGAGAUUUUGCAGAUGUAAUUGAGUUAAAGAUCUGAAGAUGAAAUCAUCAUGAAUUUAGGGUAGGCCGUAAAUCCAAUGACUGACAUCCUUACAAGAAGACAAGAGGACACAGGCACCCGGGGGAAGAGGCCGUAGGAGACCCAGGCAGAGAUUCGGAGCGGUGCCCAUGCCAGGGAUCUCCAGGAGGAGCCAGAAGCUGGGAGAGGCCCUGCAGAUCCUCUCCCAGAGCCUUUGGAGGAGGCACAACCCUGUCCACACCUUGGUCUCCACUUUCUGGCCUCCAGAGCUGUAGGGGAACCCACUUCUGUGGUUUGAAGCCACCAAGUUCGUGGUGACUUAUGGCAGCCCUAGGAAAGUGACAUGCACAGGUAAACCACAUUCACUGCAGGAAAUAUACAAAUCAGCAAAAAGAAAAAAAGCACACAGGGGCACCACCCCCAGAGACAGCCAUGGCUGACAUCCUAGCGGCUGUCACCUCGGAGUGAUGUUCCUAAAAUGCAAACUUCUGAACUGCUUAAAACUCUUCCAGACACCCUCAGGUUGACAUCACAACUCCUUUGUUGGGCCUUCCAAGGCUGGUCCUUCCCGUGGCCUCUUUUCCCUCCGCUCUGUGACAGUCCAUGACGGGCACACUUGCCUAUGCUUGUUCUCCCAGGCAGUGGCCUUGUGUGGGCCUUCAGCUUCCAGUUCCAUGGCCUGGUGGAGGACCCUGUGGUGCAAGCCUUCCUCCAGACCCCCCUGGCCUGGGGCCCAAGACUGGGAAGCCUUUGAAGAUUUCAGUUUGUAAGUAGUGAGAGCAAUGAUCUUGGCUUUGCAUGGUGCUCAGGAAGCCUUCCCCGCUCCCAAACCAGAAAGGAAUCCAUCCAGAUUUUCCUCCACUGUCUGGAUGGCCGCUCUGUGGAUGCUUCCAUCUGUAUCCAUUGCCGGCACCUGGUGAGGUCCAAGUCUCACCUCCUCCAGAAGGCCUCCCAGGACUGCUGGCCCCAGACACAGAACUCCCAAGGGAAGGCUCUUCCACUAAAAGUCCAGCUGCAGCGAUAAUGAUGAGUUUGGAGAGGGCUGCAGACCCUGAGGCAGGGGUUGGUGCAGGGGCUGGACCUGAAACUGGGUUCACACAACAAGCUCGGACUCCUCUUAACACUCCUGAUUGGUGACAUUAUGGGGUCUUGGAUGCCUCCUCCUCUCUGUCCCUCGUACUGCCCCUGCCACCUGGGACUCCACCAAGUUCCUUCUCCACCAGCCAUGAGGAGAGCCUGCCCAGGGGCCAGCACUCUCUCCCUGAGCCUUAGAACCAGGAGGAUUCUCACUGCUUCUAUGUCACAGUAGGUAAAAAACACAUAAAAUAAAAUGAAAUAUCAUGAUCACCUGAGAAGAAAGUUCAGAGUAGGCCCGUAUCACGUGUUUCCAGAGAAUCCACAGCUUCCCUAUGAAGCCAUUGCUGGCAUAGGGAAGGGUGGGGCCAGGAAACAGCCGCUAUCCAGCCCCUCCAGGUUGACUCAAGUCAGAGUGUGUGGGGGCCAGUCAUGGAACAGAGGGAGCCUCCUGCCCAGGGCAAGCGUGGGGAGACCACCAGGGGCCCCAGACAGGUGAGCCGCUCCAGCAGGGACAGCACAGGUGGUGCAUGGUCGGGGCUGGACAUCGGGGUUAGUCGGCAAGGAUGAGGAGUCUCUGGGGAUGGAGGCUGAGGCUUGGGGUUCUCAGGCAAGGGCAGGCCUAGGUGCAGCAGAGAAUUGUUUGGAGGGAGGAAAUCAAGCUUUCCUUCUAGAAAGGGUGACAGGGACCAAAGGGAGAGGGCAGGGACAGCCCCUGGAAAGGGCAGGUGAGGAAGGUGAGGCUGGAGGGGACCCAAGAAGGGAUCCUGGGGAGGUAGUGGCCAAGAGCAGGGUGAGGGCCAGGCCGCACCUUUCGCUGUACCCAGCUCUCCCUGGGGUGGCCCUGGCCCUGCUCUGCUGUCCCCUGCAGGACAGGUGCCUCAGGCUUGUCCCAGCUUGUCCUACAGCAGGUCCUCAGCACCCACAGGUCCUGCCUUGGGCUCUGCAGAAGCAGGGAGUGGUGAGGUCAGGACCCUGGGCCACAGAAGAAAUGGUCUGGGGGACAAGGACGGGGGUUGGGGGACUGACAGCUGUUUUCUGAAGGCCCGGGGAGUGGAGGAGAGGGGUGAGGGGCCAAGGCUUGGGGCUCAGUAUGGGGGCAGCUGCAGGGGGUGAGGGGGCCAGUGGGGCCAGUGAAGAGGGCCUAGGGUCUGGUAUCUGCAGCAGGCACUCACAGAGGACAGACUGUUUGCAAGGUAGGUCAGGUGACAGGGAGCCAGGGGGGCUGAGGAGGCUCAGGGCCUGACUCCAGGGAGAGCAGUUGCCAUCCCCCAGGUCCAGAGGGGCCCUGGGAGGAGUCCAGGCAGGGCUGAAGCUGGAAGAAGUAAGAGGGGCUGGCACUCAAGGACUGCAGCCACUGGCCAGGUGGGGCCAGGUCGGACCGGCUGCCUUCCCUGGUCUCAGCCCCAGCCUUCUGUGGCUGCCUCCCCCAUCGGAGCCAUCAGAGAGCAGGAUGUGGGAGGGGCAGGUGAAGGACAGCCUCUGUGAUAGUCCCUGGUGUGCUGCAGCCUGGGGUGAGGGGCCUUGGGGAUGGGAAGGGCUGGGAGCUGGGAGACGAUGGCUCCCAGCACUUGGUCCUGAGGGGCCUUGGAGCAGCUUCCCCCAGGCCUGCAGAGGCAACUUCUGACACUCGGGGAGCUGAGGCCAAGGGAAGGCUCCCCAGACACAAGGAGAAGGGGCUGGGGGCAGCCAGAAGGCUUUGGGCUACCCUCCCUGGAGGCUCAGGUCCCAGGUGACCCCUCCAGCUGUGUUCCUUCCAAGAUUGGGACCUGCAAAGAUUGCAGAUGUGAGGAAAGGAAGGUGUCUUGGGCAUUCUUCCCAGUGUGGCUGAGCUGUGCCUGUGAGGACAUGCAGACACUCAGAGGACCUGUCCUCAGGGGCCCCAGGGUGAAGGUCAAGAUCUCACCUUACAACCAGCCGGGCCCUGACUACUUCCAGCCACCAGGCCCCCAGGACAGGAGCAGGACAGUGGUUAUUUCCCCAGUGGACGGGGGGCUCCAGGUCACAUAAGAAUAACAUGCCCUGUGACAAGGCGUGGGGAUGAAAAUGCUUCCCCCUGGGCUGAGAUUCCAGGACACCUGAGAUGGGGGGACCCCGGCCACAUGUUUAGAGCUCUCAGGGAACCUGGAGGGCCCCUCAGCCUCUGUUCCCCUACUGGGGAGAACAGAGGCCUGGUGGUAGCAAUUUCAGGGAACUCAGAGAAACACUGUUCCCCAGACCUUGGAGCUCCCUCUGUGCCUGGCUCUCACUGUGAGGCCCCCCACCAGCUGGUCCUGCUCAGGGAGCCUCCACGUGUCCCCCUGGUUCCUCCGGCCAGCCUAGGGGUGGAGGGUGCGGUCCCCAUGGCCUGUAGGAAGUAGGGCUCAGAGGGGCAAAGUCACCGCCCUGAGGUCACCAGGAGGUCCCGGCAGAGGGGGUUGGGGCCUGGCUCAGGGCCUGUUCUCCCUGCUGAGCUCAGUGGGAUGGGGCCAUCUCAAGGGUCCCACUGUUUUUCUCUGGUCUCUGCCCCAGCAUGUGGUGGGACCUUGAUUUCCAUACUCUCAUGUCACCAGUCUGUUGGGGGGCAGAGGUUAUGGGGUCACUGAUAUCACCUGGCUCAUUCCUCCCCCAUCCAGGCUGUCCCAUGAGAAUGUCUAAUCUGUAUGUCAUCGGAGUCAAUAAUGUGUUUUGCUAUCGCUCUGGUUCCAGGGAUAUUGCUCAGCCAAAGGGCCAGCAUCCCAGUGAAGAAGAUCAGAAAGAGGCUUCCGAUUCCGUCUCUAGAGCCUUUGAGGUCACUCCUGACGCUGACAUGGCUGUGAAGAGCUGGGUGCCAGGCAUUACUGCCUCCAAGGUUGCUUUGCGAGGAAUAGGUGGGGCAUCAGGAAGAAGCCAGUUGCAGGCAAGGCCUCUGCUGAUGCUGCUUUUUUCUCCUGUACCCAUCCAUGGGAGGGAGCUGUGAGAUGGCCUGGCAGAACCCGCUCUUGGACCCCACAGAAUGAGAGGCUCACCCUGCACAGGAACAUCCUGGGGCAGCAGGCUCAGCACAUUUUAAAUUUUGAGUAUGAACAAAGUAAACUUCAGGGUUAAAAAAAAACACAAA
rnacentral:lncRNA from 1 species